rnacentral:lncRNA from 1 species
AUAAAAAGUGAUCCUAAUUGCAAUUCAAACAGUUGAUCUUAAGAGCCUCUAGCUUAAGAACACCGAAUAAUGUUGAACUUCAUUGAGUAACUCUUAGAAAAUCUAUUUUGGAAUUCACUAAUGAGUUCUUAUUGGCUUGCUCUUUAGAACUUCAAUUUUAUGCCAAUUCAUUAUUAUAUGUAUCAAAAUGUACUUAUUUUUAAAGGAAUAAAAAAACUUUGAAAUCAUACUUAAUAUAUUGCUAUUAUACUCCAAAAAGAAAAUUAGUUCAAUUGCUCUCAUGCUGCUAAAAUACUUAAUAUAUUGGGCAAAAGAUCUUAAAUGAACAAGCUUUCAUACUUAUUAUUAAAGAAUGAUUAGAUUUUUAUUCGUGCUUUCUUUGAAUAUCAUUCUUGGUACUUCUUGAAUUAACUUGAGAAAGUUUCCACCUACACUUGAUUUGAAAACUAUCUUUGGAACCACAUUCGAUGUGUUCUCAUUAUAAUUGGCUCUGAUCUAUGCUCAUUAAUC